rnacentral:tmRNA from 1 species
GGGGAUGCUCAGGUUUCGACUGCGACAGUUGAUUCGAAUUUUGCAUGCCGUGAUUAAUGUACUCACGUAAAUAAGGCAUUAAAACAAUAAGUGCAAACAAUAAUUACGCACUAGCAGCUUAAUAAAGCAGCCGCUAAGUUGAAUAUUUAUCUAUGGGUUGAUACUUAGUGCCAAACAAAUUACAUAGUUCGCUUUUAUAAGUGCCAUUUGAGCUUUCAAAGUGUAAUUUCAAAUUAGUUAUAUUGUUUUUCUUCUUUUCUUAUAUCAAUAUAGCGAACCUUUAAAGAAAAGAUAAGCAUGUAGACGAGUUGGGAGCGCUUCGUAGGACGCGGGUUCGAUUCCCGCCAUCUCCAU